GAUCCGUGCAGAUUCUAAAAGCAAAAGUAGUUCUGGGAAUUGGUAUUAGUGUCUCUUGAACUCAACUAAAUAAAACUAAGAAAGUGGCAUGCAUACCUAAUAGUCAAGAGAUGGAAAAACAAACAGAGGUACACUGUAUCACCACCUGCGAUACAAUCCAACUGUGACCCUGUGCUGGAAAUCUAGGCUGGAAGCUUGAAGCGACAAUUGGGACACAUACGCAGAAUUAAAUAAUGGGAUGUUCUAUCUCCUAAAAUUCACACUCCCAGGUGCAAAGAAAGGGAAACAUACCCAUCUGUGCCCUUCCCAUCUCUGCAUCUCUAGCACAAGCACCCAGAUCGCCAGAGGUGCCAGAUGCAUUCUUGUUAAGUGGAUGGAUGGCCGCAAGGAAGAAGAUGAAGCUCUUUGGGAAAUACUGUGCUGAGAUUUUCUUGAUACAUCAGGCUAAACUGUCUUAUUGAAUCUUACAACCCCAUAAAACCUGCAUUAACUUCCUUUAUGAUAGGAGAUGAUAAAAUGCCUAUGUGAUAAAAAGAAAUGAGGGAAAUAACAUAGGCACUGUGAUGUACCUUUGAGCUACUGCUGACCAUCUGAUGAUACAUUAGAACAAGGGCCAUCUGCUUCCAGACUGCUUCUAGAAUGGCCAGAGGGAACUGGAAAUGCAGAAAGCAAAAAUCACAGAUAUAGUGGGACUACUGUACCUACUCACUACCUGAUUCAUCUUUCUGGAGAAGCACAACAUUCCUCCUGGUCAUUUCAACAGUCUGCUGUUUUGCUCAAAAGAUAAUUUGGAAGCAGUGAUUGCAAACAGUCAGUAAGAAUUGGGCCAUUAUUGUUUUGGAUCCAGCCACAUAGCCCUAACUCGCUCUGGCAGCUCUGCAUCCAUCAAAUGGAAUAUUGUGGAAGGAAGGCCCCUAAUCCCCACAGGACUUCCUUUUCCAUAAAUUUUCACUGCUGACACUACUGCCUUGGCUCAGGAUAUAGGUAUGCAGCCAGCUGGAAGGAUGAGACAAAUCACUGCAGGGUAAGUACACACUAUGGAUGUUGGUAAAAUAUCAUUCCCCAUUAAGGUGGAGUGGAGUAUCACCAAACAGAAGAUGGAAAUUUUAUGUAAUUCAAAAAUAUCCCCUGAUUACCUACUGGCUCCACCUGGCUACCUAUUAGAUAUAUGAGCACCUGGAAAAGUUACUCAAUUUUUUCAAACCUCAAUUUUCUCACCUAUAAAAUGGAGACAGUUAUAGAGCUCUACAUAAAGUUAUUGUGUGGCUUAAAUG